rnacentral:rRNA from 1 species
GAUGAAUGCUGGCGGCGUGCCUAACACAUGCAAGUCGAACGGUAGCAGGCCUUCGGGUGCUGACGAGUGGCGGACGGGUGAGUAAUGCAUAGGAAUCUGCCUGUUAGUGGGGGACAACUUAGGGAAACUUAAGCUAAUACCGCAUACGCCCUGAGGGGGAAAGUGGGGGACCGCAAGGCCUCACGUUAUUGGAGCGGCCGAUGGCUGAUUAGCUAGUUGGUAGGGUAAAGGCCUACCAAGGCGACGAUCAGUAGCUGGUCGGAGAGGACGAUCAGCCACACUGGGACUGGGACACGGACCAGACUCCUACGGGAGGCAGCAGUGGGGAAUUUUGGACAAUGGGGGAAACCCUGAUCCAGCAAUGCCGCGUGUGCGAAGAAGGCCUUCGGGUUGUAAAGCACUUUUGUCAGGGAAGAAAUCCUUUGGGCUAAUACCCUAGGGGGAUGACGGUACCUGAAGAAUAAGCACCGGCUAACUACGUGCCAGCCGCCGCAGUAAAAC